UACGAACGGUCCAAACGUUAUUCGGAAUCACUGGGCGUAAAGCGUCCGUAGGCGGCUCGGAAAGUAGGGUGUGAAAUCCCACGGCUCAACCGUGGAAUUGCGCUCUAAACUAUCGAGCUAGAGGGAGAUAGAGGUGAGCGGAACUGAUGGUGGAGCGGUGAAAUGCGUUGAUAUCAUCAGGAACACCGGAGGCGAAGGCGGCUCACUGGGUCUUUUCGACGCUGAGGGACGAAAGCUAGGG
rnacentral:rRNA from 1 species